rnacentral:tRNA from 1 species
GGGGUAUAGCUCAGUUGGUGGAGCGCCUGCUUUGCGGCCAGGAUGUCAGCGGUUCGAGGCCGCUUACCUCC